rnacentral:rRNA from 1 species
CCUACGGGAGGCAGCAGUAGGGAAUAUUGGGCAAUGGGCGAAAGCCUGACCCAGCCACGCCGCGUGCAGGAAGACGGCCCUCUGGGUUGUAAACUGCUUUUAACUGGGAAGAAAGCAGCCCUUGCGAGGGAAUUUGACGGUACCAGUUGAAUAAGCCACGGCUAACUACGUGCCAGCAGCCGCGGUAAUACGUAGGUGGCAAGCGUUAUCCGGAUUUAUUGGGUUUAAAGGGAGCGUAGGCGGCUUAAUAAGUCAGUGGUUAAAGGUAGCAGCUUAACUGUUUUACAUGCCACUGAUACUGUUGAGCUUGAGUUGACAGAAGGCAGAUAGAAUUUCUGGUGUAGCGGUGAAAUGCUUAGAUACCAGAAGGAAUACCGAUUGCGAAGGCAGUCUGCUGCAGUCACACUGACGCUGAGGCUCGAAGGUGCGGGGAUCAAACAGGAUUAGAUACCCUGGUAGUCCGCACAGUAAACGAUGAUUACUAGAUGUUGGGUCGAGAGACAGUGUCCGAACGGGAAACCGGAACGUAAGUAAGUACCGACCGUACGGGGUAGGUACGGCCGGUCCGGAACGGUACGGUUAAACGUUAACGUAAAGUUAAGUUAGUAGGACGGCGAGAGAGCGACGACGACGACGACGGAGGAGGAGG